GGGAGCUUAGCUCAGUUGGUUCAUUCAGAGCAUCUGCCUUACAAGCAGAGGGUCGGGGGUUCGAAUCCCUCAGCUCCCA
rnacentral:tRNA from 1 species